AUUAAGUAGCCAUGUCCUCAGCAAAGUAAGCAAACAAAUAUUAUAAUAAAAAAUAACACUUGAAACUAGAUUUUAUUUGUUAGGAACAUUAAUAGUCAAUCUUUAUGGCAAAUGUGGGUCAAUCAUAUCAAUUUGCUUAAAACAUAGUUAGCACCUCUGGAUUCCAGAAAACACUUCAUGUUUUAUGAUCUAGUUAGGCACAGUUUGAGUUCCUUUGCCAAAAAAAAAAAAAAAAGAAAAAGAAAAAGAAAAAAAAACUUAAUUAUACUAGAAGGUUAUUUCUCUCUCAGAUAAAAGGAAUUCAUCAGUAGGCAGUCCAGGCUCUAAUAGCAAUUCAUGUUUUCUGUUUUGUCAUUCUCAGUUUGAGAUUUCCAAAUUCAAAGGUCAAGGUGAUGACUCUAAUUCCACCAAUUGUUCCAACAUUCAAGAUUGUGCCAGCCACUCCUUUUUAAGGAAAAUUUCCCAUGGGCAAAUACUUGUUUCUUCUUUUAUAUCAUUGGCUAGACUUAAUUCCAUGACUGUAGUCAACUAUGAAGAUGAGGCUGGGUGGCUUCUAGCUGAGCAUAUUAGCUAGGAUUCUGUUACCAAAGAAGAAGGAGAAAUGGAUAUUGGAAGAUAAUUGGUAUGAAAAGCAAGUGUCUGAAAUAUAGUCAUACCAUGGAAAUUAAAAGGUGUUUAUUGAAGUAUAACUUCAUUUGACUCACAUAAGCAUUCCUGUGUUAAUAAUGUUUUCCUUCUAGGCAAGGGAUAAGCGCGGAUAUGUGUGAAAAUAGAUAGUGACAUCAUCCCAUUUUAUCUGGAUAUAAACUGAAGGUAGAUGGUCAAAUGCAGAAAAAUCAAGAAGAUUUUGAAUAGAUAUUCCGAACUUAGCUUCAAAUGUCAGAAACUGAAGACUCUGAGUAAUAACAGUAUGAAACUUCAUACCUACUUUGGAAACCCCUU
rnacentral:lncRNA from 1 species